CUCCGCUGUACAAGCCGAACGCUUCUUCACCAAGCUCAUUGAAAAAGAAGUAUUUCUUAUUCAUUCAUUUCUAGUUUCACUGGGUCUUCUCUUGAUUAUACUUAUUGAAAUUUUGAAUAUUUGUUGAAUGUCGUAUGAAUUUAGAUGAAUGUAAGGUGUUAAAUGGUUUGAUUGAAGCUGAGGGGACGCGUGAGCUUAAUUUAAUUGCUUUUUCUUUUCUUGUCGGUUAAGUGUAGUUCAGAGGACGGAUUUGUAUGCAGAACUUUAGCUUGAUCUGAUCUUUCUCUUCUAUUGAUUUUGCUGAACUUUCUUGUUUACUGAUUUCUGCUAUUGAUUUGACUGAUUUUGUUAUGAUUUACUUAUUGAAAUUUUUGUUAUUAAGAUUAAUUUAUUGAAUGUUACUGAAUUUUGAUGAAUGUAAGAUGUUAAAUGGUUUGAUUGAAGCUGAAGGAAGCAUGAGUUUAAGUUAAUUGAUUUUUCGUUUCUUUUUUGGGGUUGGGGGUCUUAAGAGUUAAAUCUAGUGCGAAGGAUCAGAUUUGUAUGGAAAACUUAAGCUUGGUCUGAUCUUUCAUUUUCUUCAAUGGAUUCAUGUUUACUGAAUUUUAUUGUUUUUCGAAAAAUAAGGAUAUGUCUGGAUUUGUACGCAAAACUUUAACUUGAUAUGAUCUUUCAUUUUUUUCAAUUGGCUUAUAUUAUGGGCUUUUUGCAUGAUUAAAAUUGAGGAUAAAAUGGAUGGAUUUAUUGUAGAUUAACUACCUAAAUGGUCUAGUUAAGCUUGACAAAGAAUGUGAACAUAAUUCAGUUUAUACAAGAGAUAGCUUGACCCAAAAUUGAAUCUGCACUCUUUUUUUAUUUGAUUAUUUGCCCUUCGAGAAGGAUCCACAUUUGGUACAAUGGUAAAUUUGAUAAUAAUCAGUUUUGUGAUUUGAAGGAGUUAAACUUCAACAUGACCAUUUAGUUCCAUGCAUUGAAUAAUUUUGACACAAUAUAGUUUGAAAAUGACGUUGUCGAGAACUACCUCCACUUUUUCCUCCUAAAAUUUAAACCUUAUCUUGGAUGUCACACUUCUUGAAAAUUCUAUGUUUUCUGUAACAUGGGAGAAACAUAGUAAAGAAAAAC
rnacentral:lncRNA from 1 species